GAACCAAAUGAUGAUUCUGGAUUCAAUUUCUCACGACGGUCGUCUGAAUCACGUCUUUUUGUAGAGAUGUGAUAAACUGAUGUAU